GACGAACGCUGGCGGCGUGCUUAACACAUGCAAGUCGAACGGAAAGGCCCUGCUUUUUUGGUGUUCUCGAGUGGCGAACGGGUGAGUAUCACGUGUGUAACCUGCCCUUGAUUUUGGUAUAACUUCAGUAAACUGGGGCUACUAUCGUAUAGCAUCUCCUGCUGCAUGGUGGGGGUUGGAACGUUUCGGCGGUUGGGGUUGGACUCGCGGCUUAUCAGUUUGUUGGUGGGGUAGUGGCUUACCCAGGCCUUGACGGGUAGCCGGCCUGUGAGGGUGACCGGGCACAUUAGGACUGAGAUACGGACCAGACUCGUACGGGAGGCAGCAGUGGGGAAUAUUACACAAUGGGCGGAAGUCUGAGGAAGCAACGCCGCGUGCGGGAUGACGGCCUUCGGGUUAUAAACCGCUGUCGCCUGUGACGAAGCGUGAGUGACGGUAAUGAGUAAAGAAGCACCGGCUAACUACGUG
rnacentral:rRNA from 1 species